CCCCCAGUCCGGCCGAGGCCCCAACGUCCCAGAGGCAGUCGGGCGGGUUAAGCAAAAGGUCGGCGCCGCCCCGCAGACGUGCGGCCACACUGGACCCCAGCAACGUGAAGCUCGCAGGCCACCCGCCACUCUGAGCAUUGACCAGGACCUGUAGUAGACAUGCAGCUUCUCUACUGCUUCAGGAAUCUCCGCUGGUUCAGCCCACCUGCCUCCACUUCUGUCUCCACCAUGUCCAUCAGGGUGACCCAGAAGUCCUACAAGGUGUUCACCUCUAGCCUCCCGGCCUUCAGCAGCCACUCCUACACUAGUGGGCCUGGUGCCUGCAUCAGCUCCUCGAGCUUCUUCCAAGUGGGCAGCAGCAGCUUCCAGGGUGGCCUGGGUGCAGGCUAUGGUGGGGCCAGCGGCAUGGGCAUGGGAGGCAUCACUGCUGUCACGGUCAACUAGAGCCUGCUGAGCCCCCUUAACCUGGAAGUGGACCCCAACAUCCAGACCAGGCGCACUCAGGAGGAGCACAUCAAGACCCUCAACAAGUUUGCCUCCUUCAUCAACAAGUUUCCUGGAGCAGCAGAACAAGACGCUGGAGACCAAGUGGAGCCUCCUGCAGCAGCAGAAGACAGCUCGGAGCAACAUGGACAACAUGUUUGAGAGCUACAUCAACAACCUUAGGUGGCAGCUGGAGAUUCUGCGCCAGGAGAAGCUGAAGCUGGAGACUGAGCUUGGCAACAUGCAGGAGCUGGUGGAGGACUUCAAAAACAAGUAUAAGGAUGAGAUCAAUAAGCAUACAGAGAUGGAGAAUGAAUUUGUCUUCUCAAGAAGGAUGUGGAUGAAGCUUACGUGAACAAGGUAGAGCUGGAGUCUCGCCCGGAAAGGCUGACUGACAGGAUCAACUUCUCAGGCAGCUGUAUAAAGAGGAGAUCCAGGAGCUGAAGUCCCAGAUCUCUGACAUGUCUGUGGUGCUGUCCAUGGACAACAGUGCUCCCUGGACUGAGGCGGACAGCAUAUACUAGAUUAAGUAUGAGGAGCUGCAGACACAGGCUGGGAAGCACGGGGAUGACCUGUGGCAUACAAAGACUGAGAUCUCUGAGAUGAACCAGAACAUUAGCUGGCUCCAGGCUGAGAUUGAGGGCCUCAAAGGUAAGAGGGCUUCCCUGGAGGCUGCCAUCACAGAUGCUGAGCAGUGCAAGGAGCUGGCCAUUAUGGGUGGUCGUGCCAAGCAAGAGGAGCUGGAGGCCGUCCUACAGCAAGCCAAGCAGGACAUGGCGCUGCAGCUGCAUGAGUACCAGGAGCUGAUGAAUGUCAAGCUGGCCUUGGACAUCAAGACUGCCACCUACCAUAAGCUGCUGGAAGGCUAGGAAACCUGGCUGACAUCUGAGAUGCAGAACAUGGGUAUCCAUACAAAGACCACCAGUGGCUAUGCAGGUGGUCUGAGCUGGGCCUAUGGGGGCCUCACACGCCCCAGCCUCAGCUAUGGCCUGGGCUCCAGCUUUGGCUCUGGCACAGGCUCCAGCUUCUUCAGCCGCACCAGCACCACCAAGGCCGUGGAGCAUCACCAAGGCCAUGGUUGUGAAGAAGAUUGAGACCUGCCAUGGGAGGCUGGUGUCCGAGUCCUCUGACGUCCUGCUGGAGUGAACAGCUGCGGCAGCCCCUCCCAGCCUGCCCCUCCUGAGGCUGCCCCAGAGCCCGGGAGGGAGGCCCCUGUGUAGGGAGCACAGGGAACAGGUGACCCACCUGAGGCUCAGCCCUACCCCUCAGCUCACUUUCGGGAGUUUACUGCUGGGGAAGCCCUUGCCCAGGCCUCCAGCUGCAAAACAAUUCAAUUGCUUUUUUUUUGGUCCAAAAUGAAACCUCAGCUAGCUCUGAAAAAAAAAAUUGUUAAAAAUUUCCUUUAUUAAAAAUUGUAGGCCAGA